GCUUCCGAAUAAAUUCCUCUUGCUUGUUGCAUCAAGAAACGUCUUUGGGGAGAGAGUGAAUGCUGCCCCCUGCCGGCACAUGCGGUGGAACGGCAGGGCCUCGAAAUGGACGAGCCUGGAUCUGGGAAAACCGCAUUUGUAGUCAUGCUUUCUCCACUGCCAGCCAAGACUCUCCUUCGUCUAGUGGUGUGACUUCCUGAUACAAACAGCUGGCUGGACACAUACCUGGACACCACAAACCUUGUUGGAAACCAUCUCCUCAGGAUUCCAGGUUCUGCCUAGUAGCAGUGAUCCCAUCUCCCACCUGGUGCCAAAUGAGCUGUUGGAUUCUGGGGGAAAAAUAUUUUACCAGCCUAGGGCAAAAUACUUUUGAAACCGAAAUCAGUCAAGGGGAGAAAUGAAGUAGGAGAAAACCUUUUAAUGCUAACAAGCAGUCAUCCUCUCCUGCUCACCCGUGCCUCUCUUGACCCCACCCAGAUAUGCCCUCGCUCCCCCUUGUAAUUACUGAUUAAUAUGGAGAUGGACCACUUCUCUCCACCCCUUGAAAACACCUAUCAAUAUGGAGAUGCACUAAGACCAAGCAAGAAAUUCUGGAAAUAUUGCAAUUUUACACAAAGCCCACCCCUCCAGAAAUCUUGUCUCACAAUCUAUUCACUCCCCAUCUUCUACAAUGGCCCCUGUGUGAGAAAACUGGAGCAUUGUAGCCAGACUAAUAACAUACAGUAAC